rnacentral:rRNA from 1 species
GGUUCUUUGUUUAAAUAUUAAGAAUCUGACCUGCCCGGUGAGGUGUUUAACGGCCGCGGUAAAUUAACCGUGCUAAGGUAGCAUAAUCAAUUGUCUAUUAAUUGUAGACUGGAAUGAAAGGUUUGACUUAAAACAAAUUGUCUUGGCUAUAAGAUGAAUUUUUUAUUUUUAUGAGGAGAUAAAAAUGGAGCAAAGGGACGAGAAGACCCUAUUGAGCUUUAUAAAAAUAAUUGUUUUUAUGAGUAGGGAGUGUUGACAAGAUAUUUUAUUUUGCUGGGGCGGUAAAGGUGAAAGAAAACUGUUUUUUAGAAAGGGAACUGAUAGGUUAUUAAUUGAUCCAGAAAUUCUGAUUAAAAGACUAAGUUACUGUAGGGAUAACAGCGUAAUUUCUCUUUGAAGUUCAAAUUUAUGGGGAAGGUUGCGACCUCGAUGUUGGUUUAGGAUACCUGUUAGGUGAAGGAGCUUAAGAAGGUAGUCUGUUCGACUAUAAAAAUCCUAUA